rnacentral:rRNA from 1 species
UACGUAGGCAGCGAGCGUUGUUCGGAAUUACUGGGCGUAAAGAGUGUGUAGGCGGUGUUCCCAGUCUGUUGUGAAAUCUCCCGGCUUAACUGGGAGGGUGCAGCGGAAACUAGAAUGCUAGAGGGUGGGAGAGGUAAGCGGAAUUCCUGGUGUAGCGGUGAAAUGCGUAGAUAUCAGGAGGAACACCUGUGGUGUAGACAGCUUACUGGACCACUUCUGACGCUGGGACACGAAAGCGUGGGUAGCAAACAGG